CACCUGAUCGGAUUCAAUCCAUGAAGAUACCAGAAAACUAGUUGAAACAUUAUUGCACCUGGAAGGAGUUGUACGUAGCACAUCGGAAUUGAAUUGAAUUUGUUGUACAUUUCAUCAGCUUGUUGAAAAUGAAAUAAACAUUAUUUUAACAAUCUUGUGUUUUUCUGUCUUCUUGAAUGACUUGAUGAUAUACACUGUACUUUAGCAUCCCAACACCUGCUUUACUUUGCAUCCUCCUCAAUGUAACAAUCCCUAACAUCCCAUAAUGUAGGACAAUACUUUUUCAAGAAUUUAACAUUAAUGGGAUGUUUCUGCCAAUUCCCUUCGAGGUCCGCCAAGUAGUAUCCCCCUUUGUUUAAUACUUGACUAAUUAUGAAAGGACCUUCCCA
rnacentral:lncRNA from 1 species